rnacentral:tRNA from 1 species
GUUCUGAUAGUACAAAGGUAGUAUGCCUCUUUGACUCAGAGGAGACCCGUGUUCGAUUCACGGUCAGAACA